rnacentral:rRNA from 1 species
GACGGAGGAUGCAAGCGUUAUCCGGAAUGAUUGGGCGUAAAGCGUCUGCAGGUGGCAGUUCAAGUCUGCUGUUAAAGACCGGGGCUUAACUUCGGAAAGGCAGUGGAAACUGAACAGCUAGAGUAUGGUAGGGGCAGAGGGAAUUCCUGGUGUAGCGGUGAAAUGCGUAGAGAUCAGGAAGAACAUCGGUGGCGAAGGCGCUCUGCUGGACCAUAACUGACACUCAGGGACGAAAGCUAGGGGAGCGAAUGGG